UCCUCAAGUUAUUAAUUUUCAUUUUGUGUCUGAUGCAUGUUUAUCAUUAUUACAAGUCCUUAUGUAUACCAUAUUCUGUGCAAUCUCAUGAAACAAACUUCAUCCAAUAUUACCAAGACUGCAAAUAAAAGGAUUGGGAUGUAAAUAAAAAUUGAGGUUAAGAAAAUAAAAUAUUGAAAUAUGUACUAUUCAGAAGAGAUGUUUAUCUUUGGUAAUAAUUCAAUAAGUCAUGAAAUGAUAUAAUGCAUAAUAUUAGUGAUUUUGUGAUGUUUGUCUUUGUUUACUGUUAUUUAAUGAUUGUCAAUCUGACAGUACGGACACCAAGAAUAUCAUUCACAAAGGGAGGAGAAAAUGGAAUUACUUUUGAGUCUAUUUAUAUCAUGGUGUUGUCUAUAGUGAUGUGAUGAUUUUCUUUAUGUAUUUCAAUAAGAUGCUUCAUAUGAUCAUCACCCGUUGCCAUCAGUCUUUCUUUGAAUUUUUAAGCAAUUCCUCUGCAUUAAGUAAGCAUUCAAAUAUGAAGUGGUUUAUGUAUCCCUGGCUCAUGUACAUUGGACUAAGUUGGUGUUUUGGCAAGUUUGGAGUUCGUGAGUCAAUCACCGAAUUACUGUGCAGUACAUAGGGUGCAAUGGAUUGAAAAGAGUUCUCCUGUUAUACUUCUGAGGAUAUUUUCUUGGACUUGAUAUAUUCUCGUGCUGAGAUGUACAUGGCAUAUUUGAUUGAACUUGGAUUAUCUUUCUUUGAGCCAUCAGUUUGUGUUAGAGAAGAAUUAUAUAGACAUUGUCCAUGAUGGUCUAUAAAAUCACACUACCAGGAAUUUGUAGUGGUUCACCAUUUCAAUGAGUGCAUCUCAGACAGUUAACAUGGAUCACAUAUUCUUGUGAUGAGCAUGGCUUUAGUUCUGUAGAGGAUGAUGUGCAGGUUUCUGCGACUUAGUGAGAUACUCAAUAAGCAGGAUUGGUAGCGUUUCCCAGGGGUUUCACACCCUACAGAAGGGUUUCCACCAGAUCGCAAAUCUGAAAGUUGAAUGUUAAUAUGCCGAAAAUUGCAUUUCUAGAUGACUUGUACUAGUCGGCUAGCUUUUUGAACUCCCCUAUCUUUUGAGGAAAUGAGCCGGUAGUCUUGCUGAUUGUAUUGCGGAGUCUCGUCAUGUCGACGUUAUCAAAAUUCUUAAUAUCCUAGGAGUUUGUCUAUUCUAUUUCGAAUAUUCAUCUAUUUGAAAUUCUUUGGAGCUGAACUCCAUUUCCAAUUAUCUCGCCUUCUGGAUGGUCGUGAUCUACAAUGAAGAUGGUGUUUCCUGUUUUGAUAUUGCUGCAAUAAUUGUUGUGAAAUGUGCUAAGACCGCUAUCUAAAAGAAAUGUUGAGAUGAGUCAAAUAAACCGUACUAAACAGA